UGGGGAAUUUUGGACAAUGGGCGAAAGCCUGAUCCAGCAAUGCCGCGUGUGUGAAGAAGGCCUUCGGGUUGUAAAGCACUUUUGUCCGGAAAGAAAUCCUUGGCUCUAAUACAGUCGGGGGAUGACGGUACCGGAAGAAUAAGCACCGGCUAACUACGUGCCAGCAGCCGCGGUAAUACGUAGGGUGCAAGCGUUAAUCGGAAUUACUGGGCGUAAAGCGUGCGCAGGCGGUUUGCUAAGACCGAUGUGAAAUCCCCGGGCUCAACCUGGGAACUGCAUUGGUGACUGGCAGGCUAGAGUAUGGCAGAGGGGGGUAGAAUUCCACGUGUAGCAGUGAAAUGCGUAGAGAUGUGGAGGAAUACCGAUGGCGAAGGCAGCCCCCCUGGGGCCAAAUACUGACGCUCAUGCACGAAAGCGUGGGGAGCAAACAGGAUUAGAUACCCUGGUAGUCCACGCCCUAAACGAUGUCAACUAGUUGUGGGGAUUCAUUUCCUAGUAACGUAGCUAACGCGUGAAGUUGACCGCCUGGGGAGUACGGUCGCAAGAUUAAAACUCAAAGGAAUUGACGGGGU
rnacentral:rRNA from 1 species